AUUGAACGCUGGCGGAAUGCUUUACACAUGCAAGUCGAACGGUAGAGGGGGCAACCCCUCGAGAGGGCGAACGGGUGAGUAAUAUAUCGGAACGUGCCCAGUCGUGGGGGAUAACGUAGCGAAAGUUACGCUAAUACCGCAUACGAUCUAUGGAUGAAAGCGGGGGAUCGCAAGACCUCGCGCGAUUGGAGCGGCCGAUAUCAGAUUAGGUAGUUGGUGGGGUAAAGGCCCACCAAGCCAACGAUCUGUAGCUGGUCUGAGAGGACGACCAGCCACACUGGAACUGAGACACGGUCCAGACUCCUACGGGAGGCAGCAGUGGGGAAUUUUGGACAAUGGGCGAAAGCCUGAUCCAGCCAUUCCGCGUGCAGGAUGAAGGCCCUCGGGUUGUAAACUGCUUUUGUACAGAACGAAAAGGUUUCUACUAAUACUAGGAGCUCAUGACGGUACUGUAAGAAUAAGCACCGGCUAACUACGUGCCAGCAGCCGCGGUAA
rnacentral:rRNA from 1 species